rnacentral:lncRNA from 10 species
AGGCAGGAAACUACAAAUUGACACAAAGAACAUCUAAGUUAGAGAAAGGCCUCUGGAGAAGCUGAAUCUACAUUUCAGCCUAGAGUCUAGAACAGUAUAGAAAAUUAGUAGUUAAGCCAGGCAUGCUUUAUAUAUUUUAGAUACCAAUACUUUGUCAGUUAUGUGUGCUACAGAUAGCUUCUCUAAGUUUGUAUCUUGCCUCUUCACUUUCUUUAAUUUUCUUUUUAAAAAAAUUGAGAUAGGGUCUUGCCAUAUUGUUCAGGCUUGUCUCAAACUCCUGGACUCAACAGAUCUGCCUGUCUUGGCCUCCCAAAGUGCUGAGAUUACAGGUGUGAGCCACCACACCUGGCUGCCUCUUCACUUUCUUCAUGGUGUCUUCUGUUCUUAAUUUUAAUACAGUUGAAUUUGUCUCUUAUUUGUGUAUUAUUUUAAAACGGUUUGCAUAUUCUGAGCCUAUAACAUUUAUCUUUUUAGGUUUUAAAGUUGUCUUUUACAUUUAGGUCUUUAAUCCACUGGAAAUUUUUAUGUUUGGCGUAAGGCAGGGAUACAAGGUACAAUUUCAUUUUUCUCAUGUGGAUAUUCACUUGUCUCUCCAUUCUCCUUUCGCCAUUUAUCUGCAAUGUCUUCUGUUUUAUAUUGCAUUUCCAAACAUGUGUGACUACGAUUCUAAGCCCUUUAGUCUGUUUCACUGGUUAGUCUAUUCCACACCAAUGCCACACUAAAUUUUACUUGCCGUAGUACUGAUAUUUGGUAGAGCAGGUCCUCAAAUCUAUCAUCUAUUCUUUCCUUCUUUAUUAUUAUUAUUUUUUUUUUUUUGAGACAGAGUAUUGCUCUGUGGCUCAGGCUGGGGUGCAGUGGCGCAUUCUCAGCUCACUGCAACCUCUGUCUCCUGGGUUCAAGCGAUUCUCCUGCCUCAGCCUCCCAAGUAGCUGGGGUUACAGGUGCCCACCACCAUGCCCAGUUUUUACAUUUUUUAGGAGAGACGAGGUUUCACCAUGUUGGCCAGGCUGCUCUUGAACUCCUGACCUCAAGUGAUCCGCCCACCUCGGCC